CUGCACACCUACCGAAUCGAUCCCCUCUUGUUCCUCAAUUUUCUCUAUCUAUCCGUCCAUGAAUUUUGAGUUCUUCUUUGGCCUGGCCCGCCCAUGAAUUUCUUCGAAGCUCCGCCACUGAAACUAACCGUGUCGUCGUCUUGCACGCAAGGAUCAAACGAGAGGCAGCAAGCGAAGUAGCAUCCCAGACAGAAGAAUAGCGCCGGUACGGUACUCACCCUGGGCUCCUCCUCCUCGUGCUCGUUUGGCUGGUCGGGCUGAUUAUUAUCCGCGGCGCCGCCAUUGCUGGCGCGGAUCACGUGCUUGAGGGGCGGGCCGCCGCCGCGCCGGCGCAGCGACAGGAUGGGCGGAGCCCUCCGGCGGCAACGCGAAGAGCAGCUGCCGAGGCUGCUGCUGCUGCUGCUGGCGAGCGACGGCGCAAGGUCGGAGGGCGGCCAUGGUCCGAUGAGUAGGAGGAGAAAUCGGCGCACUCGACCCGAAUCGAGUGGGAGUUAGCGAUCUGGAGGAGAAAUCGGCGCCGCCCAAAAGCCUUUCUCCUCAGUCUCAGAGACGUCGAGAUCUUGCAGACAGAUUGGUCCGUCUCCUCUCCAGACUCUAAAUUAAACCUGAUGAGCAAUCCUUGUCCUGUUCGGAUUUGCUGCCAGCUCUUUGCUUUUGUUGUCAACAAUGGCACUACUUCACGAGCCCGGCAACGAUGGUCUCCUCUGUUCUUCGGCCGAGAGUGACAGCCGUUGGCUGUUGCCGUGCCCCUGGGCGUGCUCGUUGUUGGUUCCUGUGGCCAGUGGGAGCCCAUCAACGGUUUCAGUUCAUGUCUUUGAUCACAACCGUGAUCACCUGCAACCGUUGGUUGCUAACUUUUGGUUCUCAUUAUUUGUAUAUAGAAUCUUGAAAUUUAUUUCGGGUCGUAGGAAUCAACAUGUUUGGCGAGGUACAAGAAUUUAAUCUUAAAUUUUAUGGAAUCACGCCUGUAUCUGCCCCAGUUCCUCUCUGAAAUGCUCUGGAUUCGCCUCUUA